UAACUCGAAUUAAGUAGAGUGUCGUAAGGGAGGAUGAUGACGUUACCUUACUAUUAGUCCAAUCUAAGUCUCGUGCCAGCAGACGCGGUUAUACGAACUGGGCAAAAGUUGAAUAAAUUAAUAGGUUUUAAGGAUCCGUAGGUUGUUAGUGAACUAACUUGAAUUCUAUAGAGGAAAAUAGAAUGCUAGAAGUAGGGAUGAUAUCCGUUGAGAUCUAGUGGAAUACUAAUGGCGAAAGCAAUUUUCCAAGUAAGAAUUGACGCUGAGGGAUGAAAGUUUGGGGAGCGAACCAGAUUAGCUACCUGAGUAGUCCAAACCGUAAACUAUUUACACUAAUUCUUUGGUUUAGUAGAAAUACUAUAAAAUAAUCAGAGAAAAAGCAAAAGGCUGUAUGUGUAACACCUUGUUAGUAAUGUCUCAAGACUGAAAGCAAAAAGAUUAGACCAUCCUUAAGAACCGGUGUGGAGCAUGUUGUUUAAUACGACAAUACGCGUAGAACCUUACCUCUCCUUGUAUGUUAAAUAGAUAUUAAGCAAUUAAUAACUAUUUUUCACAGGUGUUGCAUGGCUGUCGGCAGUUCGUGUCGUAAGAUGUUAGGUUGAGUCCGCCAACGAACGCAAUCCAUAAUAGGGAUUAAUUUCUCUCUAUUAUCACUUCGAUAAGAAGGAUCAAAAUGGAAUACGAUAAGCCCUCAUGACCCUUAUGGAGUAUGGGCAACAGACGUGCUACUUGAACCUUACAAUAAGAUGCAAAAUCGAGAGAUUGAGCAAAUCUAUGAAAUAAGGUCUAAUAAGGAUUGUAGACUGAAACUCGUCUACAUGAAUCAGGAAUACCGAGUAAUCGUUUAUCAGUACGGAACGGUGAACCAUUCUAUUAAGGAGAUACUAACUGUCUAUCACAUCUCGGUUAUGCUUAGAAAUGGAACUAAGUUCUAUUGAACUUAGGACAUCAUAAGUGGAACUGAGGUGAAGUUAUAGCAAGGUAGCCGUAAGGGAACUUGUGGCUGAUUGAUAAUAUAC
rnacentral:rRNA from 1 species